GAUCAACUUGUUCUGCCCAAUAUUUAUAGGGAUAUCAAGAACUCCCAGGAGCCUAUUGGCUGUCAUAGUCUGGGGUUUGUAAUUUUCAUGAGAUGGUGGAGUAUUUUAAUAACAAAGCUAAUGUGUCUGGUAGUUUUCCACUUGGUAGUUUCAACUCUGCAUUUAGCUUUACCGGUUCGACGAAUAUCAAUGUCGCGGCCACGAAGAUGCUCUCUGUGGAUGGAUUUUACAUUCCACUUGCCAAGUUUGAACUUACAAUGUCCCAGUUGUUGCAGGAAAAGGUUAAACAGGCCGUCCCAACAUCUUGGGAUCCAUUAUCCUUGGCAAGUUUCAUCUAAACUUUCGGGACACACGUCAUUACUUCUGUAACUAUUGGUGGUAAAGAUGAGAAAUACGUCAAACAACAUCACUCUUCAACUUUAUCUACCAUGGAGAUUAAAAACUAUGUGCAGGAUAUUGGAAACCAGAG